CACUAACCUAAAAGAGUGUUUCUGUUUCUCUACCUAUUGUCAAAUGAAUUAAAGAAAAUAAAGCUGUGAAAGAAACAAUGAAAAGUGUAUAUAUUUUAAUAGAAUUGGUGGUUUAACCAAAUAUGAUGUCGUUUUUCUAGAAUUAAAUCUGGAUUAUUUGAAUAUUUGACGAGUGCAAUAUGGCUAGUAAUAAUGUAGAAAUAGAAUGGCUUAAAGGUUUAGGGGUAUCUUCAGACUUUGGUGCCACUCUUUCUACAGUUCCUGAGAAUCAACCAGGAACAUCGCCCGUAAAUCAAUAUGAGCAAGUCGAGAGAACCAGUCUUAGCAGUAAUACACUAAAGAGAAACACUAAAAUGGAAUUAUCAAAAAGUGACUUAUUAAAGUUAGUCACUUGCUUUGAGGGCGAAAUACAAGCAAGGGAUAUAGCACUUGCAGCUUUAAAAUCUGAAAAAUUAAAACAAGUAGUUAAUUUAGGAAGAUAUAGACCCAUCCUGAUGACUGAUCCAUAUACAGCUCUUCUGCGAGAUAGUAUUGCUGAUACCCUAAAUUCCAAAGUUCCUGUUAGUGAAAAAGAUAUGCAAGCUGCAGCCGAACAUCAAAUACAAGCUUUAGAACAGCUGGCAAUGCAACAGAGAUGGGCUCAUCAACAUAUGAUCAACAUUUUAAAGGAAGCUGAAAUUAAACAUAAAAAGGUCAUUCAGGAAUUAGAAGAAGAAAAGUGUAAACAUGAGCAUGAUACAGCUCAGGGAGAUGAUAUUACAUAUGGACUAGAAAUGGAAAGGACACGUUUACGACAAGAACUAGAUAUGGAACGAAAUGCAAGAAAAAAGUUAGAGAAAGAAGUUAAGAGACAAGUUGAAUUGGCAGAUGAGGAAAGGGCUAGACAAAAACAAAUUGUGUUGUUACUUUUAGCAGAAAGAAAGAAAAUAAUAGUUAAGUAUAUUGAAGAACGAAAAAGAAGUGAAGAUUUAGCACAGAUUUUAUCUGAAGAAAAAGCAAGGAUUGAUACAAUGGCAGAGGGUUUAGAAGAGGAGAGCAAAAAGUCACUUCAAAUGGAGGCUGAACUUGAAAAACAAGCUCAUGAGUUUGAAGUUGAAAGAAAACAUUUUAAAACUCAAUUAGCUGCAAAAGAACAAAGGAUAUUGGAAAUUGAGACUGAAAUUAAUAGAUUAAGAGCUGAAUGUGAUGCAAUAAGGAACAGAAUCCCGCUAUCAGACAAUGGGGCAGCUAUGAUUAGUAGUGUGGCGAAGGUAGUACAACCUACAGCAACUGUAUCCAGUGUUCCAGUAUCAGGCCCAACUACUGGUAUAGCACAGUCGGUCACACCAGGACAAGCCCUUCGACAGCCUGUUGUACCUAUCUCUUCCUCUACAUUAUCUUCUACAAAACUUGGCCAGGGAACAGCUGCGAUAGAUUCGUCUACGAUCAGGCCCGUUCCCAAGUCCACGUUUCAUUCUCACCUGCAGCAGCCAGCACAAACAGUCCCACAGACACCACCUAAAAAAGGAGCGGCUGCCAGAGGCGUCCCGCCACCCAUACCACCCAACAAGCCAGUGAUACCAAGUAAGACGGCAAUUUCCCGAAGGCCUGAUAGUGCCGAGUAUGAGAAAAAAAAGCCUAAAGAUGGAGAGCCCCAAACAACUCAACAGGUAGUCAGAACAGGUCAGGGCAUCGAAAUAUUGGGCCAAGAGCUGGCCGAUUUUCAGCAAAUGUUUGUCACUAUGGCUACAAGCAAUAAUGCUUAAAUUGUGUUAAAAGAAUUUGUUCUGUUUGCCUGUAGAGCUGAAUAAAGUAAAGCUUUCAAAGUCAAUAUAUAGAAAUUAGUUGUGAUAUGAUAAUUAAUAUUUUUUUAACAAGACUUAUUUUAGCUACAGAUGGAGUAAAAUGAGAGACUCACUAAGGUAUUAUGUUUAAUCUUUGUUAGGACCACUCUAAAAUAAAAAAUGUAACUAUGUUUACCUUAUUUGUAAGUAAUAUUUUUCUGACAUUAUGUCUUAACAAAUCACAAUUUUCUCUAUAUUAAAACAACAUAUUUACCAGUGAUGUCCCUCUAAUUUUAACUCAUGCUGUAGGUAAAAAAUGACAAGAGCUGAUAUUUUCUUAUAAAAUAAACAUUUUUUUUAAUGGAACUCCGAUGUUGUUAAAAUACAAGUUUCAUAACUAAUAAUUUUCUUAUUUAGGAACUGCCAGUAACCCAUCAUCUUGAAUUACCUGCAGUUUUGUCAGCGGUGGCAAGUUUAAGGGUCGGGGAGCGUUUUAACA
rnacentral:misc_RNA from 1 species